CCUACGGGCGGCAGCAGUAGGGAAUUUUGCGCAAUGGGCGAAAGCCUGACGCAGCAACGCCGCGUGAUCGAGACGCCCUUCGGGGUGUAAAGAUCUGUCAGUGGGGACGAAACUUGACGGUACCCACUGAGGAAGCACCGGCUAACUCCGUGCCAGCAGCCGCGGUAAUCCGGGGGGUGCAAGCGUUGUCCGGAAUCAUUGGGCGUAAAGAGUUCGUAGGCGGCACGUAAAGUCUGGUGUUAAAGGGAGGGGCUCAACUUCUGUACGGCACUGGAUACUUGCGAGCUAGAAUGCGGUAGAGGUAAAGGGAAUUCCUGGUGUAGCGGUGAAAUGCGUAGAUAUCAGGAGGAACAUCGGUGGCGUAAGCGCGUUACUGGGCCGUAAUUGACGCUGAGGAACGAAAGCCAGGGUAGCAAAUGGGAUUAGAUACCCCAGUAGUC
rnacentral:rRNA from 1 species